UGAGUACUCCCUCCGUCCGGAAAAACUUGUCCCAAGCUUGUUUGUCAAAUGGAUGUAUCUAGCACCAACUUGGUGCUAAAACUUGUCCCUCAAAUGGAUAUAUCUAGCACCAAGUUGGUGCUAGAUACAUCCAUUUGACAAACAAGCUUGGGACAAGUUUUUCCGGACGGAGGGAGUAGAAA
rfam:Triticum aestivum genome assembly, contig: Triticum_aestivum_CS42_TGACv1_scaffold_221339_3B